rnacentral:rRNA from 1 species
UACGAAGGGGGCUAGCGUUGCUCGGAUUGACUGGGCGUAAAGGGCGCGUAGGCGGUUCGUACAGUCAGACGUGAAAUUCCUGGGCUCAACCUGGGGGCUGCGUUUGAUACGUGCGGACUUGAGUGCGGAAGAGGGUCGUGGAAUUCCCAGUGUAGAGGUGAAAUUCGUAGAUAUUGGGAAGAACUCCGGUGGCGAAGGCGGCGACCUGGUCCGAUACUGACGCUGAGGCGCGAAAGCGUGGGGAGCAAACAGG